rnacentral:rRNA from 1 species
AGGACGAACGCUGGCGGCGUGCUUAACACAUGCAAGUGGAGCGACGAACCAGGGCUUGCCCUGGGGCAGAGCCGCGAACGGGUGAGUAACACGUGGGUUACCUGCCUUGAUGACCGGGACAACCCGAGGAAACUCGGGCUAAUACCGGAUGUGCCCGCAAGGGGAAAGGAAGCUUCGGCCUCCGCAUCAAGAUGGGCCCGCGGCCCAUUAGCUUGUUGGUGAGGUAACGGCUCACCAAGGCUUCGAUGGGUAGCUGGUCUGAGAGGACGAUCAGCCACACUGGGACUGAGACACGGCCCAGACUCCUACGGGGGGCAGCAGUGAGGAAUUUUCGUCAAUGGGGGCAACCCUGAACGAGCAACGCCGCGUGCAGGAAGACACUUUUCGGAGCGUAAACUGCUUUUCUCGGGGACGAGUAAGGACGGUACCCGAGGAAUCAGCCCCGGCUAACUACGUGCCAGCAGCCGC